rnacentral:rRNA from 1 species
CCUACGGGUGACUGCAGUGGGGAAUAUUGGGCAAUGGACGCAAGUCUGACCCAGCAACGCCGCGUGAAGGAAGAAGGCUUUCGGGUUGUAAACUUCUUUUAAGGGGGACGAGCAGAAGACGGUACCCCUUGAAUAAACCACGGCUAACUACGUGCCAGCCGCCGCGGUAAUACGUAGGGGGCAAACGGUGUUCGGAUUUACUGGGGGUAAAGGGCGUGCAGCCGGGGAGACAAGUCAGAUGUGAAAUCCACGGGCUCAAACCGUGGACUGCAUUUGAAACUGUUUCCCUUGAGUGUCGGAGAGGGAAACGGAAUUCCGUGUGUAGCGGUGAAAUGCGUAGAUAUAAGGAAGAACAACAGUGGCGAAGGCGGUUUACUGGACGAUAACUGACGGUGAGGCGCGAAAGCGUGGGGAGCAAACAGGAUUAGAUACCCGAGUAGUC